rnacentral:rRNA from 1 species
CUACGGGAUGCACCAGUAGGGAAUAUUGGACAAUGGACGAGAGUCUGAUCCAGCCAUCCCGCGUGCAGGAAGACUGCCCUAUGGGUUGUAAACUGCUUUUAUAAAGGAAGAAAAAUAGUCAUGCGUGACUUACUGACGGUACUUUAUGAAUAAGCACCGGCUAACUCCGUGCCAGCAGCCGCGGUAAUACGGAGGGUGCAAGCGUUAUCCGGAUUCACUGGGUUUAAAGGGUACGUAGGCGGGCGUAUAAGUCAGUGGUGAAAUCCUGCGGCUCAACCGUAGCACUGCCAUUGAAACUGUAUGUCUUGAGUAUGAUCGAUGUAGGCGGAAUGUAGCAUGUAGCGGUGAAAUGCAUAGAUAUGCUACAGAACACCAAUAGCGAAGGCAGCUUACAAGAUUAUUACUGACGCUGAGGUACGAAAGCGUGGGUAGCGAACAGGAUUAGAUACCCCCGUAGUC